AUGUGCAUUGCGGAAAGGCCAUGUGAAGCUGGCCUUCUGCAAACCAGAAAGAGAGCCUCACCAGAAACGGACUCUGCCUGACCUUGAUCUGGGACUUCCAGCCUCCAGAGCUGUGAGAGAGAAAGUUCUGCAGUUUAAGCUGCCGGGUCUAUGACAUGGUGCCACCACUACCAAGAUCUAUUAGAAAUAGGACUUAGGAAAUGCCUUGCCAAAAGCAUUGAAGAGGUAUGGACCUACAGUUAUUGCAACAGAGAGAUUGUUGGUUUCCUUGUAACUUCCGUAGUUUCCUCCCUCCAUAGCAACGGGACCACAAUUCUUAGUGAGAGAUGACAGAAGUUUGGACUAGCAUUGUGGUGGUGGAGAGGAAGAAAUGUGGUGAACAGGAGAGGUGCCUAGAAGGUAAAACCAGGAAGAGUUGGUGAUCAAUAGAUACGGGGCAUGAGGGAGAGAGAGGGGUCCAGCACAAUCCCUGAGUGUCUCACUUGCGAAAGAGAACAAAUAAUAAUGUUGCUUCCAGAGAGAGAGAAAAAAGCCCAGGUUUGGAGGGGUGGUCAUGAGCUUCAUUUUGGAUAUGUUGACACCCAUGAGGAGAUCUGAAGGAGCUGGAUAUAGAAGUCUGGGGUUGAGGAGAGGGAUCUGGACUGAAAAUAUAAAUUUGUCAGUCAUCUUUGUAUAGAGAGAAAGAUCACCUAAGGAAAGAUCACUGAGGGCAAAGGUAAGAGGGCUCAUGAAUGCCAAUAUUCUUGAAGUGAAGGAUGAGCCUGCAAAGGAGACUGAAUAGAAAAGGUAAAAGAUGAAAGAGAAAACUAGAAAAGUGUGGCUACGGAAACCGCGGGGAGAAGGUAUUCCGAGUAGGAGGGGCUGGCUUAUGGUAUGAAAUACUUCUGAGUCCUGGAAAUGAGGACCAGAAAAAUGUCUCGUCAACUUAGCCAUACGGGGACCACUGGUGACUCUGAGAGAACCCUUUCCAGUGAUGAGAGAAACCAAAUUAGAGUGAGUUGGAGAGUAAGUGGCAUAUGAGAAAGGAAGCCAGCAAGUGUAGGCGACUCCUCAUUUUCCUUGCCAACUACUCCACUCCAGUCAUUCUUCCUCAUUAGUAGCUGUGGGAAGCUCCUCUCAGUACAGUCUUUUGUAGAAACAUCAUUAUCACAAUCUAGAGUAACACUGCUCAGGGCACUGUUGUCAGCUCUUCAUUGUUUUUUUAAGAUAAUGUUCACCUUUGAUGGAACGAGAGUUUGAAUGGUUUUUAUGGCAACCGUGGCAGAUGUGGACACUGAUUUGUUCACUCUCUUUUGCUCACUCCCUUUUGUAAGAAGGUUGAACAUAGGUUAGGAGUACAACACAUGGUCAUGGAAAUGACUAAAGCUUCAGUUGGCACUUGAUGUCUGGCCCUCCUUUUUUUUCCUCUUAUCAGUAUCCAUACAACCCACAGAAGUCUCCAGUUGUGGGCAGCAAGUGAUUAAAGAAUCAGAUAACAGAUCUCUACUCUGGAAGCCAUCCGACAUAGAAGGAGCCAGAAAAGCAAAUGUGUGCAUUAAGGAUAAAUCAAGGAAGCAUCCUUUCCCCCAAGGCCAGCAAUGUAAACAUAUUCAUAAUACAACUGCAAGUUCAGACUUGGGGGGGAAGGAGUGAAAAAGAUGGGGGUGGUUGGCCAAGUGAAUGGAAUGUACCCACCAAGGAGACGGUUCUCAAGAAAUGGUUUUAAAGUGAGAAUCUUGUAAUUUGGCCCAGAUUGGAAAGGAUAUUUAUAGCCAAGGGGAAUGGAAUCCUUGGAAAUAUAUGUCAGAGGGACAGAAACAAAGACCAGAAGUCAGUUCUGGCUCCUGGGUUUCUGCAGAUCCACAGUCCCCGAUCAGCGAUCUCAAAAUUUUAAAAGUUCUGACAGUGGAACGUUUUUCCCUAACUCAUUUGGCGGUUAAUUCUCAUGUGACCUGAACACAUUUGGUUGCAAAGCCUGAUCUGAAAAGAUGUGGAAAUAUCCACAGUUAUCUUACUUUAAGAUAAAUAGCCAUACAUUUCAUUGUAGAAAUAUUAAUGUGUUUGAUUGCGGAGUGCUGCCCAGACCCCACUGGGGGUUAGGCUCUGUAAUGCAGACGGCACUGAGUUAUCUUUCUGAAAUAUGGAAAAUUCUGAAUUCUGAAACACAUCUGGCCCCAAGGAUCUGGAUAAAGCACUGUGGACCUGUAGUGGGAGGGGCCAAGAGGACUGCACUCCUGACGGUGUGAGGACCGUUAACACAGAACAGAUGCAGAGAUCACAGCCUGCACAAGACGUCCACCUUCAUGGAGCACAGAUGGGGCGUGCGGUCACAGUCAGGGGCUGCGAACCAGCCUGGGGCUGAACCCAGCUCCACGUGCCUGCGAGAGGGAAGUCUAAAGGGUGCUGAUGGUGUCCGGUUGGGAAACCCGUGUUUUUUUGAGAGCCUGCUGCUAGCCAGGCACAACUCAUUACUUCAUUUUAUUCCUCACACCAGCCCUCUGAGAAGAGAAAAUAAGGAUCGGAGAGUAAGGUCACAGAGUCAGUGGCACUGUUGAGCAUCAUACCAGGUCUGUGUGACUGCAAAGCCCGUUCGUUGCUGUUAUAACAUGCAGAUCUCUCAUUGAUCAUGUCAACAGGCUGCAGGCUAGAGAGAGCAGUUAUAGCUAAUUCUUAGUGAAUGUAUUCUCCAUGCAGGAACUUUGCUUAAUUCUCAAAACAAUCAACUGGAUUGGUAUACUAUGACCCCAUUUUUCAGAAGGAUAAACUGAGGCUUAGAGAGGGGAAGUAACUUGUCCAAGGUCUUGCAAACCUAAUAAGUGGUGGAGCUGGAUUUCAAACUGACGUCUCUCUUUCCCCAGAGCUUCCCUGGUCCGAUGGAUCUGAUGCUUCCCCCUGAACAGAGAUUGCUGGUGCCAGAAGUCAGAUAUUUACAUGCAGACACACAAAUGCAAACACACAAGCCCUUUUCUUAACAGCCAUGUGAUUAUCCAGACAUAAGUGUCAGCAGCCUUCUGGGAUGCCUCCAAUGGGUGAAGGGAUAAAGGUCAUAGUGAUGGCCACAGAAAGUUUAUGAUUAGGAGAUAACAUUUCCUGUCACUUUAAAUGAGCCAGAGACCUCCAGACACUGCAGCAAGUCUCCCAUUACACAGGAGAACAGCUUCAACGUCAAAAGAGAAGGGAUACAGGCAAAGGAGGGGCAAGGGUGCUUUUCUUCAGCUGUUGAGGGUUGGUCAAGGGAGUCUAAUGGCUUAUUAAUAGG
rnacentral:lncRNA from 1 species